CUAGAAAAAGUCCCACUUUCAUUCACCACAGUGUGGGAGCUGGAGGAUCAGAGUAGAGACAGGAACAUGGGGCUCAAAGAAGAAAUGAAAGUGAAGAGAUGCUGCAGGAUAGGGAAGAAGGGCAAGUCAAAUGAGAAGUGGUGACGACAGCUGCUGCCAUUGUGUAUUUCUAAACUCGGAAAGAAGACAGCGACAUCUCGAAAGCCACUUUCAGAGAGUGGAGUGUGUUCACAGACAAAUUUUCUAACACAGAACAAUGUCUAAUGCAGGUCAUUUGAAGCUGUGAUGGAGAAAGAAGACAGAUUCAACAGAGUGGGAGAUAGGAGAGCACGUGAAUUCCAGCCUAGGUGGAGAGUGACCUUGGAUUUAAUGAAUGUAUUGAUCUACUUCAGAGCCUUCUAUAGCUAUAGCCUGAUCCCAGGUGCUGUGAAUGAUAAAGAACCUGCCUGCCAAUGCAGGAUGUAAAAGAUGAGGGUUCAAUCCCUGAGUCAGGAAGAUGCCCUGGAGGAGAGCAGAACAACCCACUCCAGUAUUCUCGCCUGGAGAAUUCCAUGGACAGAAGAGCCUAGUGGGCUAUAAUCCAUGGGGUCACAAAGAGCCAGACACAACUUACCGAAUGAACCGCCACCACAACAGGCUGACUGCUUUGACUGCAAGGUCAAACCAGUCAAUCCUAAAAGAAAUCAACCCUGAAUAUUCACUGGAAGGAUUGAUGCUGAAGCUGAAAC